rnacentral:sRNA from 1 species
UCAGAGAAUGCCACGUCUUUGUAAUGUG